rnacentral:lncRNA from 1 species
UCGGUUAUGCAAGAGGAAGGUAUUAGCACCCCUAACAUCCAUGGUACUCCAUGGGAACCGUUUUGAUUGUUCUAGCUCAAACAGGUGUUAUCUGAAGAUUACUCGUAGAAGAAUGGGAAAAGGAAAAGAAAUAGAUAAAGCGCUCGGUGAGGAUUAGGGCCCUCGUGCCUACGUAUCCUCAUAGUACAGUGAGGAAUUCAGGACUCUGUAGUUCAAAGAACUAGUGGUAGGAGGUGAAAGGAAUUGUGAUUAAAGUGUGGUUUGAAUGAAAGAAUAGUGAUUUGA